UACGAAGGGGGCUAGCGUUGCUCGGAAUUACUGGGCGUAAAGCGCACGUAGGCGGCUUCUUAAGUCGGUGGUGAAAUCCUGGAGCUCAACUCCAGAACUGCCUUCGAUACUGGGAAGCUCGAGUCCGGGAGAGGGAUGCAGAAUUCCAGGUGUAGCGGUGAAAUGCGUAGAUAUCUGGAGGAAUACCGGUGGCGAAGGCGGCAUCCUGGACCGGCAUUGACGCUGAGGAGCGAAAGCCAGGGGAGCAAACGGG
rnacentral:rRNA from 1 species